GUCUCUCUCACACACACACAGAGGUACUCUCUCUCACACACACACACAGAGGUACUCUCUCUCACACACACACACAGAGGUACUCUCUCUCUCACACACACACAGAGGUACUCUCUCUCUCACACACACACAGAGGUACUCUCUCUCUCACACACACACAGAGGUACUCUCUCUCUCACACACACACAGAGGUACUCUCUCUCACACACACACACACACACAGAGGUACUCUCUCUCUCACACACACACACACAGAGGUACUCUCACGGACACACACAGAGGUACUCUCACAGUCGCGCGUGCACACAGAGACAGACGGACAGUCGCGCACAGACACAGACAGUCGCGCACAGACACAGACAGUCGCGCACAGACACAGACAGUCGCGCACAGACACAGACAGUCGCGCACAGACACAGACAGUCGCACAGACACACAGUCACUCGCACAGACACACACAGUCACUCGCACAGACACACACAGUCACUCGCAGACAGCACACACAGUCACUCGCACAGACACACAGUCACUCGCACAGACACACACAGUCACUCGCACAGACACACAGUCACUCGCACAGACACACACAGUCACUCGCACAGACACACAGUCACUCGCACAGACACACAGUCACUCGCACAGACACACACAGUCACUCGCACAGACACACACAGUCACUCGCACAGACACACACAGUCACUCGCACAGACACACACAGUCACUCGCACAGACACACACAGUCACUCGCACAGACACACACAGUCACUCGCACAGACACACACAGUCACUCUCACACAGUCACUCUCACAGACACACAGUCACUCUCACACAGUCACUCUCACAGACACACAGUCACUCUCACACACACAGUCACUCUCACAGACACAGACACACAGUCACACACACACACAGAGGUACUCUCACGGACACACACACACACAGUCACUCACAGACACAGACACACAGUCAGUCAGUCAGUCACUCUCUCUCACACAAACGGUCACUCACACACACACACACACACACACACACACACACACACACACACACACACACACACACACACACACACACACACACAGGUACUCUCACAGUCGCGCGUGCACACACACGCAGACAGUCGCGCGUGCACACAGAGACAGACGGACAGUCGCGCGCGCACGCACAGAGACAGACGGACAGUCGCGCGCGCGCACGCACAGAGACAGAAGGACAGGCGCGCGCGCACACAGGCGCGGACAGGCGCGCGGGCGCGGACAGUCGCGGACAGUCGCGGACAGUCGCGCGCGGACACGCAGUCACUCUCACAGACGCGCACACACACAGUCACUCUCACACUCUCACAGACACACACAGACACACACAGACACACACAGCCAGGCAGUCACUCUCACACAGACGGUCACUCUCACACACACAGAGGUACUCUCACAGUCGCGUGCGCACACACAGUCGCGUGUCGUGGGCACACAGAGACAGACGGACAGUCGCGAGCGUGCGCACACAGAGACAGGCACACACAGCCAGGCGCGUGCGCACGCGCACACACACACACACACACACACACACAGCCAGGCAUGCGCGCGCAGACACAGACACAGUCACAGACACAGGACAGUCAGACCCCCCUCCACUGUCACACUCUGUCUCUCUGUAGUGAUGAUCGAGCACCCCAGUGCCCCUCAAUUGAAGACGUUAACCCUAGAGCUAAGCAAAGAAUAGCCACGGACCCCACCCCCUUCCCAAAGACUUAGGACAGGAUAGGGCGGGCUUUAGGCAGGAAGAGGAUUCUGUGACUGACUGAAACAUUUGAUUACUUUUUCCUUUUUUUCCCCUUUUCACUUCUCUUGAGUGGAGUUAUUGAUUUGUAUGUAUCUAUAAACAAAAAGGAAAUUUGUACAAAAUAUACUUAUACCGCAAAACUCGUACAUAAAGAAGUAUACAAUUGUUUUGCAAUUUUGCUCUAAUUCAGGGGAGAGCAAAAUAAAAAGCAACCUGAAGUUGGAGGAAAAUACCUCCGGGUAUUGUAAUGGAAUAUCUCUACUGUAGCCCUGUUCCCCAGAGGACAUUAAAUCCUGCUGCACAAGUGAUGUCACGUCCUGUGGAAGGGCGGGUAGUGAUGUCUCUGUUGGGAUAUCCAACAAAGUAGUUGACAGGUGAAUAUCACCUGAAUUCUUCAACACCAGAACAGUCAAACUCAAACAAACCUAUAUUUGGAAAUGCUCAGUGCUAUCUGGGAUCCUUGGGACGUGCCUACCCUUAACCCUAAUCUUAAACAUAACCCUUACCUAUUUUAAAUGUCUACUUCAAUGGGGGGGUAUUGACGUCCCAAGGAUUCCGGCUUGCACAGACCAAUUGCCAAAUCUGGGAUUUUUUGGGGGUUUCUCUUUUUAAAUUCUCCCAUUCUUUUAAAAAUGUACUUUAUGUUGAAAUUGAAAAAUAUCUACUUGGCUUGUUCUGGUCCAGGCUGUGGAGCUUCCAGAUUUGCCAUUUUUACUUUUAUGAUUUCGUUUUAUGCACACGUCUGAGAGGUAGUUUUUUUUCUCUCUUCCUGCGGAAAGAGACAGAUACUGAAGACGGGAGUGAGGAUAGAACACGACCUCUGACCUUUGCAGAACUUAACUUUUUUUGUGGUUUUUAUUUUAUUUUGUCACAUCAACAACCUGAAUAAUUGUACAAAAUGCAAUGUGUAUCUCUUAAACAAGUCUCUUGAGAAUAUACAAAUAUAUAUUUCCAUAAUGCCUGUACAAAGCUGCUGCAGCUGACAAGUCAUUGUUGGAACUGGACUCACUCUGCAGAACGAUAACCUACAUACUAUCAAAGACGGACGGAUGGGGUGUUCAGUUUUAAAAAAUGUGUUUUGUCUUUAUUUUUAAACAUUCAUAUGUAUUAUGAUGACAUGCUGAUGAACCUGCUUGUCUAUCUGCAGGGACUAACUGUCAUUUUACCAUCCCAGAGCCGUCCCAGUUGGUCUCCAGGACCUAGGUCUCUGGUCUGGACUUGUUUCCCUCUGUUUAUGACCUGUUCAAACAGUGCACAGCAAAAGCAGGGAAGUUGUUAUUUUCAAUGGAAGCCUGGCAGCAGUAGCAAUGAGGCAUUUCUAGGUGAAGUCUCACCCACGAAAAGUAGGUCCGGUCAUCUGGUCACUACUGUAGAUGGUCAAAUAAGUUGCUACGCUGCCACCACAAGGCAUAAUACUCUUUUGCAGCUGUGUGUUUGAAUGGGCCAUUAGGCUGCUAACUACUGAUAGACAGUGGG
ensembl:lncRNA